UUUUGUUUGAAUUUUGUAAAAGCUGAAAGGUUGUUUGAUUGUAUGCUUAUCCAAGACGUGCUUCCUAUAUCUUCCCAUAGAGCUCUAGCCUUUGAUAAGGCCCAUGAUAAGAUGAAGAAAAAGAAGGAUGGAGUUAAAAGGAGAAAGUAUUCAAGAAGCACCUGAGAUAGUGAUGGCGAUAUUUCAAAUGACAAUGGUACUUGUGUUGAAGUAAAGACCAUGAUAUGGCUGAUGACUUAUAUUAUGUAUUUUAUUGUUGGUUUCAAACAUGCACACAGUAUACCUGUUUUGUUACCAACUCAACGCCUUAGAAUCUUGUUAGCAUCUCAAUAUGUUUAGAGGUGUUAGGAUGCUUAUGUUAGCUUUUGGGAUAUAUACUUAGUGUAUUUAUUGGAUGUAACCUAACUUAUUGAUCAAUGAAAUGUGAUUAACCAAA